CCUACGGGAGGCAGCAGUGAGGAAUAUUGGUCAAUGGGCGCUAGCCUGAACCAGCCAAGUCGCGUGAAGGAUGACUGCCCUAUGGGUUGUAAACUGCUUUUAUAUGGGAAUAAAGUGCAGUAUGUAUACUGCUCUGCAUGUACCUUAUGAAUAAGGAUCGGCUAACUCCGUGCCAGCAGCCGCGGUAAUACGGAGGAUCCGAGCGUUAUCCGGAUUUAUUGGGUUUAAAGGGAGCGUAGGCGGGUUGUUAAGUUAGUUGUGAAAGUUUGCGGCUCAACCGUAAAAUUGCAGUUGAUACUGGCAGCCUUGAGUACAGUAGAGGUAGGCGGAAUGCGUGGUGUAGCGGUGAAAUGCUUAGAGAUCACGAAGAACUCCGAUUGCGAAGGCAGCCUGCUGAACUGUAACUGACGCUGAGGCUCGAAAGUGUGGGUAUCAAACAGGAUUAGAUACCCGAGUAGUC
rnacentral:rRNA from 1 species